rnacentral:rRNA from 1 species
UGGGGAAUAUUGCACAAUGGGCGAAAGCCUGAUGCAGCGACGCCGCGUGAGGGAUGACGGCCUUCGGGUUGUAAACCUCUUUCGACAGGGACGAAGCGCAAGUGACGGUACCUGUAGAAGAAGCACCGGCCAACUACGUGCCAGCAGCCGCGGUAAUACGUAGGGUGCGAGCGUUGUCCGGAAUUACUGGGCGUAAAGAGCUUGUAGGCGGUUUGUCGCGUCGUCUGUGAAAACUCACAGCUCAACUGUGAGCUUGCAGGCGAUACGGGCAGACUUGAGUACUGCAGGGGAGACUGGAAUUCCUGGUGUAGCGGUGAAAUGCGCAGAUAUCAGGAGGAACACCGGUGGCGAAGGCGGGUCUCUGGGCAGUAACUGACGCUGAGAAGCGAAAGCGUGGGUAGCGAACAGGAUUAGAUACCCUGGUAGUCCACGCCGUAACGGUGGGUACUAGGUGUGGGUUUCCUUCCACGGGAUCCGUGCCGUAGCUACGCAUUAAGUACCCCGCCUGGGGAGUACGGCCGCAAGGCU